CCCAUGGCGUAGUGGUCACUGCGCUCGCCUUGCACGCGGGAGACCCGGGUUCGAUUCCCGACGGG
rnacentral:tRNA from 1 species